UGCGCGACGGCGUGCGCAGGGGACUUAAAAUCCUCCGGGGCAACCCGUGCGGGUUCGAAUCCCGCCCUGGGCACCA
rnacentral:tRNA from 1 species